rnacentral:tRNA from 1 species
GGUUUUAUAGUGUAGCGGAUAGCACUUCGGAUUCUGAUUCCGGCAACCCCGGUUCGAUUCCGAGUAAGACCU